CCAGCCCCAAGCCACAGGGCUCUGUAGACUCCGAAUGGCACUUCAGCUUACAAGAGAUUAGUCUGCUCAAAGAUAACAGCAUGACUUAAUUCUGACAGCUGUAUUUCAAGUGUUGAAUAACUUCACUUGGCUGGUGGCUUACAUACUGAUAAUGCAAGUGCAGAAGUUGCCAUUUACUGAGAAAGGAAGAAAAAGACGAAGAAUAGGAUUGGAAGGUGAAAAUCAGGAGGCUGUAGACAUGCUAAGUUUGAGAUGACUUUUAAACAUUCUAGUGGCGAUACUGAGUUAGUAUUUGUAGCUCUGGUGUCCGAAGUAGUGGUUUUCAAGUUGUGAGCUGUGACCCAUUGGUGAGCUUAAAAAUCAAUUUAUUAAUUGUAACCUGCAAUUUAAAAAAUAAAAUAGAAAAGAUCCAAA